GGUUGCGAUCAUACCAGCACUAAUGCACCGGAUCCCAUCAGAACUCCCCAGUUAAGCGUGCUUGGGCGAGAGUAGUAGUAGGAUGGGUGACCCCCUGGGAAGUCCUCGUGUUGCAACCC
rnacentral:rRNA from 1 species